AUGAAGACUAAGGACACAGCAGUAGGUCAGGGAUAAAGUUGUGGAGAAGAAAGUGGUUUUAGGUUACAAACACUAAACUGAAUAUCUCAGCUGUGUUCAAUCCAUUAUCUGCAAGUGGAAAAUUUAGUAUACUGCAGCCUCCAACCGACCUAAACACAGAUGUCCUGCAUUAAUCACAGAAGCAGCCAAAAGGCCUAUAGCAGUUACAGGGGAGCUACAUAAACCUACAGCUCAGAAGAUCAUCUUCCCACUGAGGACACCAUCUUUCUUGACUGUGCUAUCGUCAGUGUUGCUGAGCAACUAAAAAGGGUUAUGAGACGGGCUGGUGCCCAGUGGUCUUUGGACGAAAGGCCGGAUACACCAUGGACAGGACAGACAGGACCAACAGCCAGGCACGCAUACAGCCAAGGACAAUCAGACAGAUCCGUUACCUUAACAGUCGUGUUUUGGGACUGUUCGAGGAAGCCAGAGUACCUGGAAAGCACACAUGCACAAGAACAUGCAAAUUUAAUACAGAAAGACACAGGACUUGAACACAGCAACAAUG